GAUGAAGAACGCAGCAAAAUGCGAUAAGUAAUGUGAAUUGCAGAAUUCAGUGAAUCAUCGAAUCUUUGAACGCACAUUGCGCCCGCUGGUAUUCCGGCGGGCAUGCCUGUUCGAGCGUCAUUUCAACCCUCAAGCCCCCGGGUUUGGUGUUGGGGAUCGGCUCUGCCCUUCUGGGCGGCGCCGCCCCCGAAAUACAUUGGCGGUCUCGCUGCAGCCUCCAUUGCGUAGUAGCUAACACCUCGCAACUGGAACGCGGCGCGGCCAUGCCGUAAAACCCCAACUUCUGAAUGUUGACCUCGGAUCAGGUAGGAAUACCCGCUGAACUUAAGCAUAUCAAUAAGCGGAGGA
rnacentral:misc_RNA from 1 species